rnacentral:lncRNA from 1 species
AGGUUCUCUCUUAUUCCAGAAACUCUUGUAAUUGCUGUCUUCUUUUUAACUCUCGUUGCUUUUCUCUUACUCAACUUUUCUUUCUUGUGAUGCAUGUCCCGUUUACUCUUAUUCCGGAUGUUCUCUGCUUCAUCAUGGCUUCUUCUCUGACUACUACACUCAGUCUCCUCUCUCUCAUGCUGCUGUUUCUUUUUGUCUUGUUCCAUUUCAUCUUGUUCCCUUCUGUCACUGCUUUCUCCCUUCUCUUCUUUGUACCCCCUCCCCCCCCCCUCCUCCCACUCUCUCUCUCUCUCUCAUUCUCUUUCUCUCUCUCUGUUAACUAACACUGCACAACUUUCUAAAAUCUGACAGAUCCACACCCACAUGUGCUACUCCAACUUCAACGACAUCAUCCACUCCAUCAUUGACAUGGAUGCCGAUGUUAUCACAAUCGAGAACUCCCGCUCUGACGAGAAGCUCCUCUCGGUGUUCCGUGAGGGGGUGAAAUAUGGUGCUGGCAUCGGCCCCGGGGUUUAUGACAUCCACUCCCCCCGUAUCCCCACCACCGAUGAGAUUGCUGACCGCGUCAACAAGAUGCUUGCCGUCCUUG